AAUUUUAAAUUCAACUGAGAGAAACUUUUUCCCAUACUUUGUUAAGACUUUCACACAAAAAUUCCAGACUUUUCAAGGUCUGGACAACAACGUUUCAAAAUUCUAUACUUUUUAAGAAAUUUAAGACCU